ensembl:lncRNA
CGUGAGGGUGGGGCAGGGGAGAUCUGAGGAGUGUGCUCACUGCCCCUCCCUCAUCCACCGGCACACCAGACCCCUCUGUCCGACUGUGCUCUUCCAUUUCUCAACUGACUGCCCUGUGGGACAUGUAAAUGUGGUGUUUUCCUAAAAGGGUCUUGUCCUGAACAAAAGCUGACAAGAUCUGCUCUACCCUGCAAAUGUCCAAAGUCAGCUGUCACAUUCUGUUCAGGCUGUUGUCAGAUUUAAAUAAUCCCCAAAUCCCACACAUCACCCCCUUUCUAUACCUCUCUUCAAAAGUCUUUAUCAUCCUGACAGCUGUCCUCUGAACUGUCUCCUAAUGUCUCACAACUUUCUAGAGCUAUAAGGCUGUUUAUGUGACAUCCACAGCUAGCACUCUCACUUGGUCUCCUUGUGGAUCAGAGCCUCCUAGCCAGGCAACCUCAGCCCAAUUUUUAUUUCACAACUUUUUACUGGUGGAAAUGAGGAGAAACAGACAUCAGCAAGUCUAGGCUCUGCCCUUAAGGAGCUCCUGCUGAGGAGGCUAUAGAGACAAGUUUUACACAGUUCAAGAACCACACAUGUGCAGAGGAGCGGUCCAUCAUGUUUACUAACUGCCAAACAAUCUGAAAUAGAUGGGAGGAAUACAUCUCACACAUUUACAUCUGGCUAACUACUAAUGCGGGACACUUCAUGCAGCUAUUUCGAGAUGGGGGAGGUGGCUUCUGGCUCACUGAGCUCUCAUCGCCCCAUGAAACCCUCCCAGGUGAUGGGCAUCACCAUGCAAGUCUAGUCCUGAAUUUCUCACUGCACUUACUCAUAUUGAUGGGGAAAAG